AACAAUCGCCAAGUGGCGGGCGGUCUUGUGGGAGGUCGGGAAGCCCAGUCUUAAGUGGGUUCCAGUAUUUCAAGAGAAGUGUGAUAUCGUUAAAUCACACGAGCUCAAAAGACCACAAUCGACCAGAGAGCCCGGGUCCACAAGAUCACAAGAGCUCGGGAGUCUCCAUGUUUGUACUUUCAAGAAGGCAUGCACUAAAAGAAUUGAGGAGAAGAGCUGGGUUCCCUCAAUUUUCUAAGGCCUCUAAGAUUAUGGCCACGCCCUCAAAGCCACCAAACGUCUUGGUCCACCACGGCGACAAGGCCUCGCAAGACCAGCUCCGGCAGCUAGUGUCAUCUCUCGUCGGUACCACGCACUACACCGUGUACGAU
rnacentral:misc_RNA from 1 species